GGUAAACCUGAGAAAUCCGAAAGAUCGAAUGGGGACAUUCAGCGUGAUUCCUCGGGAGGGCGGCGGCUUCCGAUGAAAUGUCGUACUUCGCCUUGCUCCUUGUGUCCCGUCUUGGACCGAAUGCGUGCGCUUCUCCCUUACCCCUACGACGAGACCCGGUGCCGGUCGGUGUAGGGCUUGCGGUGCAGUCCGAGCCCUCCGGAUUCGGUUUCGGGCUAUUCCCGCGUGAUGUCCUGGCCGAGGCUUGACCGCUCGACGAUGGCGCAGAGUCGCGGCUUGCCCGCGUUCGGCCCACCGCAAGCGCAUUCGGUUACUCCUACGUCGGCACUGUCCGACCUCGGGGCCGGCUGGCUGCUGGCGUUGGUGUUCCCGGACAGUCUCUGUUCACGCCAGUCUGCGGCGCUAUAGCUUUGGGUACUUUCAGGACCCGUCUUGAAACACGGACCAAGGAGUCUAGCAUGUGCGCGAGUCAUUGGGACUAUCGAAUCCUAAAGGCGCAAUGAAAGUGAACGCGAGCUCGCGCUCGACUUAUGGAAGAUGCGUGAGCGGAAGCCACCUCGCACUCGCGGGGCGUCUCGUUCUCAUUG
rnacentral:rRNA from 1 species